CACGACUGUCUCUGCGUCUCAGCACCUCCUCCCAGCCUGCCACAGCUCUGACAAAGGCGAGGUGAUCGCUCCCGCUCUCCCGGCUCAGAACAGCUUUGGCCUUGUCCACCUCCGCACGGUUCUGCAGGCUGCUGCUGAAGGGGUCCCGAGUGAGGCAGGAAACGAUGACGAGCAGAGGGUGGAGGCAGCGGUAGAUGGAUGCCAGGACAAUGGCCUUUGCCAGCCGAGGGUCUGUGGAGAUCUGGGCAAGGCGUUUGCCUAAAGUGGUGAGGGCUUCUCGCUGGUCCAGCACCCCGAUUUCCUGCAGCAAAAUCACUG
rnacentral:lncRNA from 1 species